UACAGAGGGUGCGAGCGUUGUCCGGAAUCACUGGGCGUAAAGGGCGCGUAGGCGGCCUGCUAAGUAGAGGGUGAAAUCCUGCGGCUCAACCGCAGGGCUGCCUUCUAAACUGUCAGGCUGGAGCACGGUAGAGGCAGAUGGAAUUCCCGGUGUAGCGGUGGAAUGCGUAGAGAUCGGGAAGAACACCAGUGGCGAAGGCCGUCUGCUGGGCCGUUGCUGACGCUGAGGCGCGACAGCGUGGGGAGCAAACAGG
rnacentral:rRNA from 1 species